CUUUAUCACACCAGCUGCCUUCAUGCUAAGAUUUAACUUCUGUGGAUUAACUGCAGCUCCUCUUGAUGUACAGAAAUGAUUAAAUACUCUGCAGUUUGGUGAUGAAAUCACACACUUUUCAUGCUCUUCGUCAUGAAGUGAGGCUCAAAUGGAACAUGAGGACAGAGAAACCUCCAAAGUCCUUCAUGUUCAGGUUGUCCAGGAUGACUUUGGACAGGCCAGGAACAUUCGAGUCCAAAGAGUAGAAUCCAAACUGGUCAGAGAAAACACUGUCAGGACUCGGAGCAAAGGAUUCUGGAAGUGCUGGAACUUUACCUGCCAUUUUCACCAGUCUGUCAGACACACAGACACACACACACACAAAUAUGAGCGGUAACACGUGACCCAUGUGUGUCAUAAAUAUAAUGAG